AGCUAUUUUCCUGGAUUUAAAAGGAGAUGGAAACCAGUACACCUCAUAAGAGAGCGGGAGAUCUGGACACUGCUCUGUGAGAACACUCUGCAACAGAGGUAGAGACCAGACCUCCGAGCAGAUCAUAAUUUUGAGAGGCAAAACUCUAGGCUUCAGGAUUCCCAGCUUCAGCAAAGAUCAUCUGCCCCACUGCAAGUCUGGAAACAGAGAUUGGAGGGACUUUAAGAAAGGGCAAUGGUGAUUAUGGUAGCCUUGAUUUCCAUUUCUUGUAAUCAUGGACAGCUUCUGAUUUUGGAGCAAUUCUGGGAAGGAUCCCCCACAGAACUGAAACUAGCAUCCCUCACCAACACAGUGGAAUGAGGGCUGAGGUCCAGGAUAAAGCAAAUAGAGAAAUGUUUUUUAUCUAGCUGAGAAUCAUGUUUUGCUGCCCUAAGUGGACAAAGUAACACAUUUGAAGACCCUUUUCACCAGGUACCAUUCAUAGCACACCAAAGCAUGCUUUUGCAAACCCACGUUUUAUGGAUGGGUCAACAUAUAUGAGAAAAGGGGACCCUGUUCUCCACCAACAGCAUUUGACUCUAUUACUGCUGAGGUCCUAAACAGUGCAGCAAGGAAAAAGAAAAGGAGAAGGAAAUAAAGAAGGAAAUACAGAAAGAGAGGGCAUAAAGACCUGACAAAGUGCCAGGAGGUCAGUGGUCACCUAAUGCUAUCUGCUGCGUCCUCCACAUGAAGUCAACUCCUCAUGCAUUUGAUCAUCUCACAGCAUCAUAAGGAGAAGGACGGACACCACAGACAUGUCGUAAAUGCUCCUUAUGUUGACAGCAGCCACCAAGCAGACCCCGUAGCUAAGACGAGAGGGAUACAUGCCCAAGCAACUCAUUUUGCACAGCAGCCGGUGGGACCCCGAUAUUCCUGCGCUGGAAUGCUCUUAUUCAAAGAGACAACAGAAGGGUGACCGGACUCAUCUAAGACUGUAGAGCUGGAAAUUGGAAAGCCUAGGUUUGAGCUCAAGUCGGCCUAACCCUAGUGCGCAGAUCCUUUAGUACUGUGCUAUUUUGGCUCUUCAAAUAAACUGAAGAUGGCUCAGAUGAGAGAAAAGGUAAAUAACUUUGGAAGCAAAAACAUGACAAUGUCCCCAAAGUCUGGAAUUAGAGGAAAAUUGAGAAACUGAAAGCAAUGGAACCUUACAUACCAGAGGAGACAGUCGUCCAUUCCACGCCCAAGUGAAGACUGUGGGGUUUCCGGAUGUGUGGAGUGCAGCUCCUCAGAGUCCCAUUACUGUGGACGCUCGAGACCAGCCACAUACAUGGAUGCACUCACUCCUCUGGAGGAGGGGGUAGGAAGAGGAUGCGGACGGAAUUGAAGAAAACGAAAGGGGGAAAAGCGCUA